rnacentral:tRNA from 1 species
GGGUCCGUAGCUCAGGUUGGUAGAGCGGCUGGCUCUUAACCAGUAGGUCGUGGGUCCAAAUCCCACCGGACCCG